rnacentral:rRNA from 1 species
UACGGGGGGGGCAAGCGUUGUUCGGAAUUACUGGGCGUAAAGGGCGCGUAGGCGGCCUUCUAAGUCAGACGUGAAAUCCCCAGGCUUAACUUGGGAACUGCGUCUGAUACUGGAAGGCUUGAGUGCGGGAGAGGGAUGUGGAAUUCCAGGUGUAGCGGUGAAAUGCGUAGAUAUCUGGAGGAACACCGGUGGCGAAGGCGGCAUCCUGGACCGACACUGACGCUGAGGCGCGAAAGCUAGGGGAGCAAACGGG